rnacentral:rRNA from 1 species
CAGCCGUAAACUAUGCGCGUUAGGUGUACUGGUGACCACGAGUCACCGGGUGCCGAAGGGAAACCGUGAAACGUGCCGCCUGGGAAGUACGGUCGCAAGGCUGAAACUUAAAGGAUUGGCGGGGAGCACCACAACGGGUGGAGCCUGCGGUUCAAUUGGACUCAACGCCGGAAAUCUCACCGGAUAGGACAGACAUAUGAUAGUCGGGCUGAAGACUCUACUUGAUGAUCUGAGAGGAGGUGCAUGGCGUCAGUGACU